rnacentral:lncRNA from 1 species
AUAAAACGUAAAUUAAAUAUUCAAUGCCGCACAAACUAAAUCAUAAAAGAAGUUUCAAGAGUUACUUAAAGAGAUAGUCUUAAAUUGAUCACCUGAUUCACAUAGUUAAGCACCGACUCCUUAGUUCCCUUUUGUUUCAGUUGAGUUGAGACCCAAGACACAAGCAGUUCGCAUGCAGUGCAUCCAAGGUCAUCGCUAGAAGAAGCCUCCCCUUGGUCGGCCUUUUCGACAACUGUUUUAAUGAUUGAACUGAAACGAAAACUUCUAUAAUUGUCAACCAUUGUCCAAUAAGAAAUUAUGAUUACAGGAGCAAAAAUAACAUCCGGUCAUGUUAACUGAAUCCACAUAUACAUCAACAAAUUAUAUUUGCUAUUGGGUUUAUAGGAACUUUAUAUACGUGCUAGUGGAAGUGCAACCAACCUAGGGUAACAUUCGCUCUAAGAAUUUGACUUUAAAUGUUAUACAUUAAUUACAAAAUAACCUACAGCAAUCCUCCCAGCCGACAUUUCAUCCAUGAAAUAACAGCCAUAAUGAUUAUAACAAUUGUUUAAAAGCAAAAUUGUGAUCAUAAAAGCUGUUGGGACAUAGUAAAGCCAGAUACUGUAUAUGAAAUAGUUCAGAUAUCCAAACCUCUGAUGUUUUCCAUAUGAGGAACACAAGCCAAUUUGUGAACAUACUACGUCAGGUCCCAACUGUAAGUAACAUGAUAAAUAAAUUAUGAUACUAAAGCUUAACUAAAUAAGGAUUAAAUAUACCAUAUACUUAAGAGAUGCAUGAAAAACAAACCCCUGAUACUAGAAGAUCCCAUAUCAUUUCUCCAUAUUCAGACACAACUUCUUUACAUUCCAUGCUGACUAUUCCUUCUGCUCCUAUGGCAUGGUUAAUUUGGGUCACCACAUUCUGAAGUUGAUAGACCAACAAAGAUUGUUAGGAUUUCUCAACAGACUUUGGUAAAAAAAAAAAAAAAGGCUUUUUUCAAAAAUACCCAAGUUAAAUAUUUUUUUCCCAAAAAUAUGAUGCAACCACAAUUGCAAGUUGCAACUGUUGCAACAUGAAAAGCAAAUAAUUUCAACCAGGGUUGCAACCUCAUAUGCAACUUUGACCUUAAUUUUUAAAAAAAGUUUGAAAACAUAGGUAUUUUUACAAAUUUGCCAAAAACAAAUAGCAGACAAAAUAAUUUCAAUGUGAAAACCACAUACGGGAGGGUAAGACCAGAUAUUCACUAUAAUGAAUAUAUAACAAAAAUGGAGACACUCCCUCACUUAAUUCGUGAUCAAAUCACCAUAUUUGAUGCAAAAAUCUCUCUUGAACAUGUCCUACAAAAAUCUCUAGUCUUCUCAUACACUCAUUGCCAACAAUCAACCGUUUCUAUAUGCACCAUAACUUUUCCUAUCAUAAUCAACUUAGAACCCUUAUGUAUAAUAAUUAAUAAUUACCAACUUCCUCAUCUUAAAUAGGAAUUUUAAUACAAAUUAAUAUAUUUUCACAAACCUUUUCUAUCAUAAAUAAGAAUACAACUCAUAUAGGAAUGUGGGGCAUAUCCUACAAGCACUGCGUGCAAUUUUUUCAAAAAGAUAACUGACUUCAUAUUUUGAGAAUCAGAAGAAAUUCGGAUCGGUUGAUAAAAGGCAGGGAAACUAACAGUUGGACCAGCAAGCAAGGAUGUCCCAGAAUCCACAAUAGCAGAACAACCUCCAUCACAAUAACCUGAGGGGAAAACAUUGGAGACUCAUAAUCUGUUUUCCAACUAAGUCUAAGGUAAUAAAACAAAUAAAGAAAUUAAUUGACUUUUGUGCUCUUAACAUUUAUCACAAAAAGAAAUUUACAGCUUAUUAAAAUGCCUGAAAAUUUAUUGACUAGAUUAGACCUGAACCACAAUAAUAUUCCUGUUAAGACUCCGAAGUCCUGUAUUAGUAUGUUUGGUUUAGAUCACUUAUUCAAACUUUCUAAAUUGGUCAUAAACAUAGCUGGAAAUGUUAACUUCCCAUGCUGCUUUUAACCAAAACAUCUUUUAGAAAAAAGACUAGUAGCAAGUAAGGAUAGAAAAGUGAAUGCUACACAUUAAAAUUUAUCAAAAGUUCACUUUAAAACAAAAAUUAAAAAAUUGACCUGUCGACAUAUUUCCAAUGAGAAAAUCGCCCAUAUCAAACUGUGAAAAGAAAAAAAGAUGAUCAGCUUUAAUAGAAGAAUAUAACAAAAAAAUCAGAUUAGAUUACCACUUCAUCUUUGAACAAUACAAACCUGCCAGUAACCCUUAUCAGUUAUUGGAACGUAAGUGUGCUCCCCCUUGAAAUGUUUUGGGUCAACACCACCAAAAACAAGCUCACCCCCCUCUUCUGCAUCUGCAUCUCGAUUAAGCCAAAAUGAGAAUACCUCUUCCUUCACCAGACCCUGGUCCACCAUAUUGUACCUGCAUUUUGUAGAAAUUUAGAUACAUUAAAGACAGAAGCACAAAACAGGGAAAAGUCUCUCUUCAAGGAUGUAAAGUUCUAAAAAACAACUGGGUCCAAAAUGAUACCAGGGUGGAACCACAUUUCCGACAGAAAUUUCCUGGAAUCCAAGUCCAAGAAUCCCAUCAAAUUUUGCCACUACAAAAGAAAGGCUUCCUUCUUUCGUAGUCUCAAUGAAAACCUACAUUAAUAGUCAAGACCAUCAGACUAUUAAUAAAAGGUCUCAAAUUUGAGUUGAGUGUGAAAAAAUGGCAGACGUACUUGAUCCUUGAUCAAAAGAUCCCCAACUUCGACAUUGUCUUGACUUAGGAAGCCAGAAACUGAUCCUGAUCCAUAAUUUAUUGUAACCUUUUUUCCUACGAUAAAUCAAUCAAACAAUUCAUGCAUUCAAACUAUUUAUAUAUUAUAAGCUUGAUAGAUUUUCUUAUAGUAAACAACUUCGAGACUGAAUGAAGCUUGAUGUCUUUUACCAUUUUCAGUAUAUGUACUAGAUUUCUUUGAUUUGUACUUGGGAUGUAACCAGCAAGCAAUCUGCACAUAAUUUUAUAUAUUAUGUGACUUUCCAAGUAUGAGGAAUGGAAGAUAGUGAGUGUAAGUUUCCCUAAUAACUCACCGAGAAGUAGCAUUUUGAUGAUGGAACCCAGAGAUUUGAACUCCCAGUAUCAAAUAUGACAGUGAAUUUCUGGAGAGGUGAGCCAAUACCAAUUUCUCCAUAAUAUUGGGCAUCCAAAUAGUUUGUUAGAGAUACAGUAUCGAUGUCCGAAUCACCCAAACCAGUCUUCACAUAUUUACUAUCUAGUUUACUACUUCUGGCAGCUUUAAUGCUGUCGCGAUCCAACUGCCGUUUUUUCAAACCAACUCUCAAUAAACCAUCAGAGGAAGCAUUAAUAAGAGUGCAUGUGAAAGCCCAUAAACAGAGAAUUGUCCAAAGAUACUUAUUCCCCAUGUUCUACGGAUUCUGUUAAUAAAUGACUAAAAGUUAAAUUGUGCGAAUAACAUGAAAAGAGAGCAGGCUAAUCUAGAUAAUAAAAAAUGCAUACCAAAUACAAAAUGCUAUAACUACAAAAUAGAGUGAUUUUGAAUAAGACAGACAGAAGCCAAAUCGGUUGAGAAUCAAUUACACUAUUUAUCAGGCAAAAAAUAUUGAAAACAAAGCUGCUGAAGGGAAAACAAAGUACUAAGUUAUGAUCAAGGAUCACUAGCAUCACAAACAGUGUAUCAAGAAGCCAAUUCUCGAUUAUGAAAACUCCUGAACAGAACUGGAUUUUAAUGCAUUGUUUUUAGUCUAUGGAUUUUAAUGGAUUGUAUGGGAUUUUGAUUUUGUGCGGAUUCUUGAUGAAAUGUCGUAGAGUUGAUAGGAUUUAGGUACAAUGCUUCAAAAUCCCAUUGAAUUUGAUGGGAUUUCAAAAAACUUAAAAUACACUGAAGAAUGCCACAAAAUCCAUCAUUUUAUGAAAUGAAAAAAAAUCCAUCAGCAUUUGAAUACCAUCAGAUUUUAAUGGAUUUUAAACAAUCCCAAUUGAAUACCAUCAGAUUUUAAAGCAUAAUUUAAAAUCCAAUUGAAUACCACCAGAUUUUGUGGCAUAAUUUAAAAUCCCAAUUGAAUACCUCAAGAAUUUAAUGGAUUUCAAACAAUCCCAAUCGAAUACCCUCGGAUUUCAUGAAUGCAAAAAAAUCCUUUAAAAUCCCAAUCCAAUACACCCCUCUAAGUUAUAUAGUAAUCUUUGAUUAGCAAGUAACACACAUUAAAUGAAAUUGUAUUUUGAAUAGGAGUAAGUAAUAUAUUAACAAUCUCUCAAAAAUUAAAUAUUAUGCCUAUUACCCUUACAAAAAAUAAUAUUAUGUUUGUUAAGAAGAUGAUAGGUUAUAGUUUAAAUAAGUGAAAAUAUUACCGGGAUGAUGAAAUUUGAAUUGAUGAUCAGUAGAUAAAUAUUAAUAUUAAUUAAAAAACUAAUAAUGCACGAGGACUAACUCUAUUCUACAAAAAUGAAGAAGUGAGGUAUAAGUUUCUCAGAUAACCAUAUUGACGUUUACCUUUAUCACAUAAUACAUUCCACGGUCUUUUUUUUUAAAUAGUAUAAUUGUAUAUAUGCAUAUUUUUGAAUUUGGUCUAAUACAUAAAUUAGAGAAAUCUAAGAAUUAAAAUCAAAUUUUAUAAUGUUAAAUAUUAGAACAAAUAUUUUCUGGGGGGGCCAAAUUUUUAUAUUUAUAUAAAUGAAUAGAUAAAAUACAAUUUUUUCAAAAUUAUAUAAUACAAAUUUUAUUAUUAGGGAAACCCUAGGGGGGCCAUGGCCCCUUCUGGCCCCUAUAGCUUCGUCCCCGAAUGAUACAUUCAUCUUAUCUUUAAUGUUUUCUAUAUUUGUCGAAUUUCUACAGACUUGUAAAAAAUCAGUAAGAAAAUUCUACAUUAUUUGUUAUCAUAUUGAACUGACAUAUAUUAAUUUAUAACAAUUUAAAAUAUUAAUAACAUAUUUAUUCUAAAAUAUAACCGACCAAUCUAGUGAACACCGUCAAAAAAUAAUAUCGGAGGAAUUCAACAAAUUUUAGGUAAUGUCCCACAACUCCAAUUUAACCGUCCCACGCCCUAUGAAAAUAUAAAUAAAGUUUUCUACCGAACCUGACUAGAGGGAUACAAACAAGAGUUCUUCAUUUUACGAAGUUUAUUGGCAUUAUAAAUUUCCUUAAGAUUAAAAAUUAAAUAAUUGUUACAAAGUUUAACAUAAGAUUAAAAAAAUUAAAUUAUUCCUCAGAAAACAAUUUAUAUGUUAGUAAAACUUAUUCUCCACAAAAUCCAGAAGUAGCAAACAAUAUAUACCACUACAGAUGUUCAUAGACUUAUUAAUUAUGCAACAGCAAAGUAUAAACUAGAUACAUGGACAAGCACCAAAGUUCAGUAAUGUCUUACAAUAACAACAUAUUACUCAGAUGUUGUGAUUUGAAGAGAAGAUAGAAAGUAUUCUCUUCAAAAGACACUGGAAAUAAUACAUACUUCACCAGGUGCCUUUGGUAUUAAUAACACAGACAAACCGGAAUGUUUAGGCAACUAUGACUUAAUUAGCACUAACCAAGUGCAGCCUAACCAAGUGCAGCCUCACAAACUCGUAGAUGUAGAGUUUCCGAUGGCUGCUAGUUGAAUGGUAGUCAUCAAGUAGAUUCAGCAAAGCCUAGUUGAAGAUUACCGUAGUCAAAGAUGGUAUGAUAUACACCCAUGAAAACAUCUCCAAGGAUCCUGCAGAAUUUUUUCUUGGCGUUAGAGACAAUGGUUUUCUGAAAUGCCAUUCCAGAAGGGAAAAAAAAAAGUCUGUGGACGUAACACUUGUGUGUGAGGACAUCAAUGCAGCAUGCCCUCUUUGACUUUUUAGUUACCUCAAAUUGUAAGAAUUAAAAACUCAGUAUCUAAUCCAUUCGUCGACUUAAAUUAAGUUGAUACUAGUCAAACUAAUUACGUAUAGGCGAUGCCUUGGGUUUUAUUGUGAAGAAAUGUAUAGUAACAUAGCAGAUAUUUAAUGUAUGGGUCCUAUGGGACUUCAUGGCAACACCCUCAAUUUGAGUUGCAGCAAAUUACACGGUAUCAUUUGACUUGAGUUGGGAGGUAAUGUGAGAAAAUACAUUAUACUUUGACUUGAUUCUUAAGCAGAUAAAGAAAAAGAGCAGCAUAAAAAUAUAAACAGCAAUAUUACAUACCACAGCGGGCCUUUUGGAGGUGGCACAUCCAGAGCUAUAAACCCACUAAGACAGACGGUAGCAACACCUUCUCCAGUUUUAAGUAUAUACUGAAACAAAACAAAAGACAAGGCAACUUGGAAAUAAACCACUAAAGCAAGUACUUUUUGUUUACCAAUUUUCAUCUUGACCUUAACAAUGGUAAUAUCAAUCAUUAGAUGCUUUCUCUUAUGGCGCCUCUUAACUUUAGCUUAGCGGUAUAAUACUAAAAUAAACUCUGCCUAGUCAAUGACUAAUGCAUGCAUACAUUGUGUCGAAAAUGAUAAGUAUGCUGGCUUUACGAGAGUAUCACAAUGUGAAAAGCAUUAUCAUCAAAACCUUUAGGAUAUUUGGAAUUCAGGGAAAAAAAAUCUUCAAACCUGUUCUGGGGUGAGACUGAAAGUUUUCUUUCCAAUUGUAAAUGUGAUGUUUGGCAUUUUGGAGAGGCUGUUGCAAUCAAUUACUGAUUCUCCCAUUGGACUUGGAAAACUUUCACAGAGCUGAUAAAACGUAAAUUAAAUAUUCAAUGCCGCACAAACUAAAUCAUAAAAGAAGUUUCAAGAGUUACUUAAAGAGAUAGUCUUAAAUUGAUCACCUGAUUCACAUAGUUAAGCACCGACUCCUUAGUUCCCUUUUGUUUCAGUUGAGUUGAGACCCAAGACACAAGCAGUUCGCAUGCAGUGCAUCCAAGGUCAUCGCUAGAAGAAGCCUCCCCUUGGUCGGCCUUUUCGACAACUGUUUUAAUGAUUGAACUGAAACGAAAACUUCUAUAAUUGUCAACCAUUGUCCAAUAAGAAAUUAUGAUUACAGGAGCAAAAAUAACAUCCGGUCAUGUUAACUGAAUCCACAUAUACAUCAACAAAUUAUAUUUGCUAUUGGGUUUAUAGGAACUUUAUAUACGUGCUAGUGGAAGUGCAACCAACCUAGGGUAACAUUCGCUCUAAGAAUUUGACUUUAAAUGUUAUACAUUAAUUACAAAAUAACCUACAGCAAUCCUCCCAGCCGACAUUUCAUCCAUGAAAUAACAGCCAUAAUGAUUAUAACAAUUGUUUAAAAGCAAAAUUGUGAUCAUAAAAGCUGUUGGGACAUAGUAAAGCCAGAUACUGUAUAUGAAAUAGUUCAGAUAUCCAAACC